AUUGAACGCUGGCGGCAGGCCUAACACAUGCAAGUCGAGCGGGGUUUUCGGACCUAGCGGCGGACGGGUGAGUAAUGCGUAGGAAGCUGCCCGAUAGAGGGGGAUACCAGUUGGAAACGACUGUUAAUACCGCAUAAUGUCUACGGACCAAAGUGUGGGACCUCCGGGCCACGUGCUAUCGGAUGCGCCUACGUGGGAUUAGCUAGUUGGUGAGGUAAUGGCUCACCAAGGCGACGAUCUCUAGCUGGUUUGAGAGGAUGAUCAGACACACUGGAACGGGAACACGGUCCAGACUCCUACGGGAGGCAGCAGUGGGGAAUAUUGGACAAUGGGCGCAAGCCUGAUCCAGCCAUGCCGCGUGUGUGAAGAAGGCCUUCGGGUUGUAAAGCACUUUCAGCGAGGAGGAAGGGUGGUGUGUUAAUAGCACAUCAUUUUGACGUUACUCGCAGAAGAAGCACCGGCUAACUCUGUGCCAGCCGCCGCAGUAACAC
rnacentral:rRNA from 1 species